UCUCCCCAUCGCCUGAUUCCUGUGCUAUGCAGAUCAGGGGCUGAGGAGGGGUGGAUGGGUAAUCCAGUGGGGUCACCCUGGCAGCCAGAGACCCAGCCCCUUGACCUUCUAUUGGGGGUCCAGUUCCCUCUAUUCUGACAUUCUCCCACAUACAAACCUGUCUUGCCCUUCCAUUGGAGCUGAAGGGACCUAGAUGUCAGAUGCAGGGGGAGGGGGGAGCCUCGAGACCCCCUAGGGAGUCACUGAUGUCUUCCAUCCCAGACCUGAGCCUCCCUCAGGCAGUUAAUUCAACCCACACUACAUUUCCAGUCUGCAUGGUUUUCCUUGUGUAGGCUCCCCAGGAUGGGGACAGACAAAUACCCUAGGAAAGACUUCUAUCUGUCCUUUUCUCUCUGCGCCCCACCUCACUCCCAGACCCCUGGUUCUAAGCAGACCCUCAGAGAUGGGGAUGUGGUUGUACUGUCCCUUUAACCAGGUUUUACUGGGAGGAGAGUGUGCUGGGGAGGAGGAGGGAGGGGGAAGGGAGUUUCUGGUUUUUCAUGGAGAAGCAGAACAUGAUGAAGCAUUUUUCCCCUGUUUAAAGAUCCAGCCAUGCUCCAGUUUGCAGGGGGCAGAAGGGCAGAUGUGCAGUUGGUGCUGAGAGGAUGGAGAAUUUAAGCUUCAUAAAAUCAAGGACUUUUGCCUUUCUUAUUCAGUGGUGCUUUCCUCAGCUCUUGGAACAGUGGUUGGCAUACAGCAGAGCUUAACAAAUAGUCGAAUGGCUCAGCACGUCCUCUUUGAGAAGUUGUUCCCUUUGUGAGCAAUUACAGAUGAACGAUUCUCCGGCUGUGGUUCCUGAGUCUGAGUGAGACGGUUCAUUGGUCUUUCCUAAGGGACCAGUUCGAGCAGUUGGGUGAGGCUUGUGGAUUCACACAUGCUCUAGGACUGUUAUAUUCUUGUUCCCAGCGCAAGAGGCUAAGCAACAAGAGGACUCAAGGCUCUGCUAAGAAGAGGAAGAGGUAAAUGCAGCAUCACUAGGCAUUAAAAGAGGCCCCAGCAAACGGGCUCAGAGGAUGUGAAGCUUGCUUCGCUGAGGGGCAGCUGCAUCACAGCCCCCUCCCUCUAAGGUCAGGCUGCGUGAGGACACACAGGGCCUGGAAGCAGCCUGGCACCACCCAGAAACAAACGCCAGCAGAGGGGAGACAUGCCAGGAAAGUUUCUGAAACCUCUUCCUCGGCCCUGAGCCAGGCGCCUGCCCUGGACAAAAGACUGUGGGAGCCCAGAGCAGACCUGGGACAGGGACUCGGUCACACAUGCGGGUGAAAAACUCUGCUGGGCACCUGAACUGCCUUCUGGCUUCCAGAGGGGUUAGCGGUGAAGGAAGGAGGCAGAACUGACCUUGAGGUCUUUAUGGUCUUGGAUACUUUUCAUUAAAAUUUUUAAGAAUUGUGCCUCAA